AUGCUUAAUCGAACCAGUCGAAAACAAACCCCACCACAUUCGAUUUCGGAGCCACAACGACCGCUACCUAACCGCCACAGACACGCCGUUUCUCCUCGGCAUGAUCGGAGACAAAGUCAUUCAAGCCUAAUACGACAAAGGUUUAAGCUGGAAAUACGAAUGGGAGCCGAUAAAGGAAGGGCUGUGGAUAAUAAGAUGAAUGUUGAGUUGUUGAAUAGAGUUAGUUUUGUUUCGAAUUCUUCUUUUGGUUCUGAGGAAGAUAAACUUCGCGAUUCUGAAUCCAUUUCUUCUCAGAAGAAGCCUUGGUCUUCGUUGAAGAUUCGUCGGAAUUCAAAGUUGCAGCCAGAGGUGCGUGUUUAA